AUUGAACGCUGGCGGCGUGCUUAACACAUGCAAGUCGAGCGGUAACAGGUGUAGCAAUACAUGCUGACGAGCGGCGAACGGGUGAGUAAUGCUUCGGAAUCUUCCUCGUAGUGGGGAAUAACCUGGGGAAACUCAGGCUGAUACCGCAUACGAACUACGGUUGAAAGCAGGGGAUCGCAAGACCUUGCGCUAUGAGAUGAGCCGAAGUCGGAUUAGCUAGUUGGUGAGGUAAAGGCUCACCAAGGCGACGAUCCGUAGCUGGUCUGAGAGGACGACCAGCCACACUGGGACUGAGACACGGCCCAGACUCCUACGGGAGGCAGCAGUGGGGAAUAUUGGACAAUGGGGGCAACCCUGAUCCAGCGACGCCGCGUGUGUGAAGAAGGCCUGCGGGUUGUAAAGCACUUUUAGUGGGGAUGAAAAGCCAAGGGUUAAUACCCUUUGGUCUUGACCUAACCCAAAGAAAAAGCACCGGCUAACUCUGUGCCAGCAGCCGC
rnacentral:rRNA from 1 species